rnacentral:rRNA from 1 species
CAGCCGCCGCGGUAAUACAGAGGGUGCAAGCGUUAAUCGGAAUUACUGGGCGUAAAGCGCGCGUAGGUGGUUUGUUAAGUCGAAUGUGAAAUCCCCGGGCUCAACCUGGGAACUGCAUCCGAAACUGGCAAGCUAGAGUAUGGUAGAGGGUAGUGGAAUUUCCUGUGUAGCGGUGAAAUGCGUAGAUAUAGGAAGGAACACCAGUGGCGAAGGCGACUACCUGGACUGAUACUGACACUGAGGUGCGAAAGCGUGGGGAGCAAACAGGAUUAGAUACCCCAGUAGUCCCUGUCUCUUAUAA